UACGUAUGGGGCAAGCGUUAUCCGGAAUUACUGGGUGUAAAGGGAGCGUAGGCGGUACGGCAAGUCAGAAGUGAAAGCCUGGGGCUCAACCCCGGAAUUGCUUUUGAAACUGUCGGACUAGAGUGUCGGAGGGGUAAGCGGAAUUCCUAGUGUAGCGGUGAAAUGCGUAGAUAUUAGGAGGAACACCAGUGGCGAAGGCGGGUCUCUGGACAGUUCCUGACACUGAGGCACGAAGGCCAGGGGAGCAAACGGG
rnacentral:rRNA from 1 species